GAUGAAAAUAACUUGAGUCUUGGAUGAAAUCAGUGACCCUAUGAUAUCAUCACAUCUAGAGCUGACUCUAACUGGACUUCCAGCUAUUUCCAGGACAUAUUCAAGCAGAGUUUGGAUAACCACCUGCCAAAGAUCUGUAUUAGAUAUUCAAGAAACAAGACCUGCAAACCCCUCUUUGCUGAUUCAAGUAUGCCUGGCGAAGAUCCACAAAGUAGAAGGCAGAAGGUCAGC